CUAAACAGAGUCCAACUUGAGCGAUUACGGCAGCGCCCUUUAAUGCCUAUACUCUGUUCACGCUAAGAACUUUUCAUUUUCCCGAACUGCGGUCGCCGAUAGGACAAAUUUUCUCAUCUGCUGGUCGUUGCACCGUAAUUUCACUACCGGUAUCCAUGCAACCCGAUAUACCUUCGUUUUCACGCACCUUGCUUCGAGAAUUACAAAAAUUACGUACCGCACAUUUAACCAAUUGUAAAACCGAAAAUGUAGAAUACCAGGAGUUAAAGAGAUAAGAUUGUGAUUCUGAGGUACUGCAGCGGAUAUGGGCGCAGGUUUUUACGAUGUGAUUUUUGUAAAAUGUACGUUGAACAUGAUGGGAACUUCUUACCAAAAAAUUUAUCCGAACUUUGUAUACGCGGAAUAUCGACGAACUGUGCGACUCUACCGUAAUCUUGAAGACACGAAACACAACUUCGGAGUUUGAAACCUUAAACAGAAAUACGAAGACCGAGCAAUGCUACCUUGACAAAAGAGCGGAACUGACCAAAACGAAACCUCCGGAGUGAAUGGCACUAAACAACAGACUUGUAUUGUACUGGAAGCCGAGGGAGAGAAAGAGGGAGAACGAAAUAGAAAUAGAGAAAAUAAGAGGCUAAGCGUGUCUCACGCACCAAGGUAUAUACGUACAUACAACGAUACCGAUCUUGCAUCCCAUAACAUGCGUCACACACAUGCGCGGGAUAAUGCGAUGGACAUACACGCAUGAUAAUAACAUAAUAUGAAAGUAACUUUUUACGACGAAUACCAGUGUUCCAAAGAACAUCGUUCUUUACGAGGCACAGAUUCGAUGGCAUACCGGCGAUCCCUGUGUCAUAUGAGAAUUCGAGACGGUGCAGCGGUGAUGAGGCUUCGCGUUUACGGAUGAAGGUCGUUCGGAUCAAUUAGGUCCUAUAUUAGGUUUCAGCGAAAUUCGUCAAAAAUAUCGCGGGUGAUGACGUCAUUUUAACGUAUUCAUAUCACUUUCAACUAACACUGACGGUAACCAUUGUAUGUACAUAUGAAUUCAUCAGGUUUUACAGUAAGAUCCAUUGAUUAAUCAACGUCACAAUUUUGCCAAUUCCGGAAAAAAAUCUCGCAAACAAUUGUCGUGGGAAAAUUUUUUUUUCAAAAUGAUAAAGUUUAAGGUAUAUGAGUGAAAACCUUAAACCGUAUGAGUUGAGAAUUUUAUUAGAAAAUAUAACAUUGGCGCACCAUGGAUGCAGACGACAAUGGACGCUUAUUAAAGGGGACAGAAUAAACUCGUUUAUAUUUACAUAGAUGUUUCCAUGUCUCCAUCAUCUUCGGUGUACAUACAUUGCGUAUGGAAAGUUCAUGAACCAACAUUAGGAUGGAAAGUUUUAUGAGAUGUACGAAGGCGAGGUGGGCAUAGUGCCAACGGGAGAGAGCAUCGUGGUACAAAUUUUUUUUCUUCCUUCUGAGGAUAUUAAUGGCGUAGGCGUUUAAGGUUCAAGGUUCUUCUCUGGACUCUCAGGUAAAGAGAUCUAGAAGUUUUAUCGCCAUUGGACAUCCGUUUGCACCACGCAGUUCUGAAUUUCGCCUUGACUUUGUACUUUUGAAAAUGCAAACACACAAUUUUUAGGUACUGCGCUAUGAAGGAAAUGAAAAGAACGGAACCCCGAUCGCUCUAGACAAUCUGAAUCGAAUUUCCAAUCCGAUUUUACUAAACAUCGAAUUACCUCGAGCAAGAGAUUACGGACUGUCUAAGCUUAUAAUACCUUCCAUCGGAAUAAGCUUUUAGGUAUUUUGAAAACUCGAACGGAAAAGCGCGAUCACAUGCGUUGAAAUUACACCAUUCGUAUGGGGUGUAUUGGGGUAGUACGUAAAUCAGAUUAUCCUGGAUUUGAUUUUAUUUCAUUACGCUAUGUGGAAUGGUGGAUUGUUAUAAAGUCCGUUUAUCCUUAGCCGGUGUAUGAAAGUUGAUACAAGUAUUCGUUAUACGUCGGAUACCCCCUGGAGCUACGUAAAUAACAUUUCAUCUAUACUCACGUAUCGAACGUACGCGCAUUCAUCGAGAGAGAGUAGUUUUUUAAGAGUUGAAAGGAUAAAGGGAACUCGUAUCUAAUAAAUUUUACCCCUACAUCGAUUUCCCGAGGGAAUUAUAACUUUCCCCAAUUUAUUCAAUUUCCUUUAAUGAGAAUCAACUGCUGAGCAGAAUAAAUGCAUCGCAAAUAUGUAAUUAGCUGGAAAUACAUAUCGGUAAUUGCGAGCUGAAUUUUAUUACAAAUGAAAGGUGAAAAAAAAGAAGAAUCUGAACGAAGGAUACUUCCCUCGGUUCAAAUUUCCCUGUUAAAUAGGUCGACGCGAUCGGUUCUCAGAGAGCUAAACAUUCGCAUAAUUCUAUCAUUCGACAAAUCUCAUAGAAAGCUCACAUCUGGUUCAUGGAUAUCCACGUACUAUAUUCGCAAUGUAUAGAGAGCAGAGAACGAUGUUUAUAAAGUUUACGGUACACGCGUUCCACUUUUCGUAAGUAAACUUUUUUUUUUUUGGGGGGGGGGGGGGGGGGGUGGAGUAGAGCUUUCAACUAAAGUCGUACCCGCUAUCGUGUAGUUAAUUUUAUCCGGUACAUAUCUAUAAGUACGAUACGACUACACGGUCGUUCGUCGUUUCAUGUGGUAUAAAUGUUGCAAAUUUUCCAUAUGUAAGGCGAUGUUAUAAAACAAUUGAUUUUUGUUUACCACUUCAUUUUCAGCAGCACGUACGUGCGUAAUCAUAUCGUGCGCGAGUAGUUUUAAUCAACCGUUUAUUGUGAGCUAAUUAUAAAGAGCAGUAAAUUCUGUAGGGGCUAGAAAAUCGGGUUCGAAGCCGAACGCUGCUACUGGCAGUGAGACAAUCAAUCAAAUGUCAUGCUAUCCUUUACUUGAUACUAUAGGUAUACCGACAACGGACUAUGCACUGACCUUUCCCAACCGAUGUCUGGUGUUUCAAUUCUAUUCUGGACUAUUAUAGAGCGGUUGAAAUAUGUCAUUUAUUUUUCCUGACUUUCGCCAUUAGUUCCGUAAUGCGAUCUUUCCGAUUAAAAAAUGUUAAAUUUAUUUAAUUUUUUUUUUCAAUUCAUUUCGAUGAUUUUCGUAGAUCACGCAAAUUUUCACAACAAAAUUUCUCAGUGAACCUAACCUUACCCAAAGCUGCCCAUACCAUGGUGAGAAAUGCUCAAAAUCGUCAUUAUAUUCAAUUUCAUGUUACAUUAAUCAAAAAUCAAUCAAUUGUUUUUUUUGUCCAUGCUGUUACAUUACCCGCUCGAAGCCAAAUAUCUUUUUUAUUCACGAUUUUUUGGAAAACCGUCUAGCUGGCGAGAUAUUCAGGUGUCUCAAAAUAAAUGCCCCACCCUGUAUACAGAGUCGAUCGCGAGCAGGUCUCCAACUAUUAGGCCAUUUUAAUUAUAUUUACAAUUAGUAGCCUAAACCGCUUCUCGAAUACCUGGAGCACACGGGAUCGUUUAGUAAUACGUCGCGUCGGAUCUGGCGUAGAUCGUCCAUCUCCCGUACGAGAAUUUCUGAGGUCAAACAAAAGGACGAUGGCGAAGAAAGUACGUCUAGCGUUCCUCUUGCAGCAAUGAAUAAAUAGAAAACCUCACGGCCGACGUGCCAUUGUCUAUCAUUUCAUGUUUCUCUCUUCUAUCCGCUCCCUUCAAUACUCCUCGACGAUUCCCCUCGAGAA